rnacentral:rRNA from 1 species
GAGUACACGUAAGCAACCUACCCUAAAGACGAGGAUAACCAUUGGAAACAGUGGCUAAGACUGGAUAGGAAGAUAAAAGGCAUCUUGUAUCUUUUAAAAGACCUAGUUAAUAGGUAUGCUUUAGGAGGGGCUUGCGCCAUAUUAGUUAGUUGGUAGGGUAAUGGCCUACCAAGACGAUGAUGUGUAGCUGGACUGAGAGGUUGAACAGCCACAUUGGGACUGAGACACGGCCCAAACUCCUACGGGAGGCAGCAGUAGGGAAUUUUCGGCAAUGGAGGAAACUCUGACCGAGCAACGCCGCGUGAAUGACGAAGUACUUCGGUAUGUAAAGUUCUUUUAUCGAGGAAGAAAAGCAAAUGGCGAACCAUUUGUUUGCCGGUACUUGAUGAAUAAGCCCCGGCUAAUUAUGUGCCAGCAGCCGCGGUAAGACAUAAGGGGCAAGUGUUAUCCGGAAUUAUUGGGCGUAAAGGGUGCGUAGGCGGUCUAGUAAGUCAGUGGUGUAAUGGCAACGCUUAACGUUGUCCGGCUAUUGAAACUGCUAAACUUGAGUUAGAUAGAGGCGAGUGGAAUUCCAUGUGUAGCGGUAAAAUGCGUAAAUAUAUGGAGGAACACCAGAGGCGUAGGCGGCUCGCUGGGUCUUAACUGACGCUGAGGCACGAAAGCGUGGGGAGCAAACAGGAUUAGAUACCCUGGUAGUCCACGCCGUAAACGAUGAGUACUAAGUGUCGGGUUAAACCGGUACUGAAGUUAACACAUUAAGUACUCCGCCUGAGUAGUACGUACGCAAGUAUGAAACUUAAAGGAAUUGACGGGACUCCGCACAAGCGGUGGAUCAUGUUGUUUAAUUCGAAGAUACCCGAAAAACCUUACCAGGUCUUGACAUGUUUUUGCAAAAUGAUAGUAAUAUCGUGGAGGUUACCAGAAACACAGGUGGUGCAUGGUUGUCGUCAGCUCGUGUCGUGAGAUGUUAGGUUAAGUCCUAAAACGAGCGAAACCCUUAUCGUUAGUUGCCAGCACGUUAUGGUGGGGACUUUAACGAGACUGCCAAUGAUAAAUUGGAGGAAGGUGAGGAUCACGUCAAAUCAGCAUGCCCCUUAUGACCUGGGCUACAAACGUGAUACAAUGGCUGUUACAAAGGGUAGCUGAAACGCAAGUUCUUGGCCAAUCCCCAAAAACAGUCCCAGUCCGGAUUGAAGUCUGCAACUCGACUUCAUGAAGUUGGAAUCGCUAGUAAUCGCGAAUCAGCAUGUCGCGGUGAAUACGUUCUCGGGGUUUGUACACACCGCCCGUCAAACCACGAAAGUUGGCAAUACCCCAAAACGGUAGCCUAACUCGU